rnacentral:rRNA from 1 species
UACGGAGGGUGCAAGCGUUAAUCGGAAUUACUGGGCGUAAAGGGUGCGUAGGUGGUUAAGUAAGUUAUCUGUGAAAUCCCUGGGCUCAACCUGGGCAGGUCAGAUAAUACUGUUUAACUCGAGUAUGGGAGAGGGUAGUGGAAUUUCCGGUGUAGCGGUGAAAUGCGUAGAGACCCGGAGGAACACCAGUGGCGAAGGCGGCUUCCUGGUCUGCGACUGACGCUGUGGCGCGAAAGCUAGGGGAGCAAACGGG